rnacentral:rRNA from 1 species
CUGGCUCAGGAUGAACGCUAGCUACAGGCUAACACAUGCAAGUCAGGGGCAGCAUGAUCGAAGCUUGCUUGAUCGAUGGCGACCGGCGCACGGGUGAGUAACGCGUAUCCAACCUUCCCUAUAGUAGAGGAUAGCCCGGCGAAAGUCGGAUUAAUACUCUAUGUUUUCCAAUGCAGACAUCUAAGUUGGAACAAAGGUUCACCGCUAUAGGAUGGGGAUGCGUCUGAUUAGGUUGUUGGCGGGUAACGGCCCACCAAGCCUACGAUCAGUAGGGGUUCUGAGAGGAAGGUCCCCCACAUUGGAACUGAGACACGGUCCAAACUCCUACGGGAGGCAGCAGUGAGGAAUAUUGGUCAAUGGGCGAGAGCCUGAACCAGCCCAAGUAGCGUGCAGGAAGACGGCCCUUAUGGGUUGUAAACUGCUUUUAUACGGGGAUAAAGUGAGGGUACGUGUCCCUUUUUGUAGGUACCGUAUGAAUAAGGACCGGCUAAUUCCGUGCCAGCCGCCGC